rnacentral:rRNA from 1 species
CCUGGCUCAGGACGAACGCUGGCGGCGCGCUUAACACAUGCAAGUCGAGCGAGAACCGUGGCUUCGGCCAUGGGGACAGCGGCGAACGGGUGAGUAACACGUGGGUAAUCUGCCCUCGGCACUGGGAUAGCCCGGGGAAACCCGGAUUAAUACCGGAUGGCCUUUCGAGCUCUUGGGCUCGUCAGAAAAGGUAGCUUCGGCCUCCGGCCGAGGAGGAGCCCGCGGCGGAUUAGCUUGUUGGUGAGGUAAAGGCUCACCAAGGCGACGAUCCGUAGCUGGUGUGAGAGCAUGACCAGCCACACUGGGACUGAGACACGGCCCAGACUCCUACGGGAGGCAGCAGUGGGGAAUCUUGCGCAAUGGGCGAAAGCCUGACGCAGCGACGCCGCGUGCGGGAAGAAGGCCUUCGGGUUGUAAACCGCUUUCAGGAGGGACGAAGCCACUCGGGUUAAUAGCCCAGAGGGUGACGGUACCUCCAGAAGAAGCCCCGGCUAACUACGUGCCAGCAGCCGCGGUAAUACGUAGGGGGCGAGCGUUGUCCGGAUUUAUUGGGCGUAAAGAGCGUGUAGGCGGCUUGGUAGGUCUGCUGUGAAAACUCGGGGCUCAACCCCGAGACGUCGGUGGAAACCACCUGGCUAGAGUCCGGAAGA